rnacentral:rRNA from 1 species
CCCUUAGAUGUUCUGGGCCGCACGCGCGCUACACUGAUGCAUUCAACGAGUCUAAAACCUGCUCUGCUAGGGGUGGGUAAUCUUUUGAAUGUGCAUCGUGAUUGGGAUAGAUGAUUGCAAUUUUUCAUCUUCAACGAGGAAUGCCUAGUAAACGCAAGUCAUCAGCUUGCAUUGAUUACGUCCCUGCCCUUUGUACACACCGCCCGUCGCUCCUACCGAUUGAAUGAUCCGAUGAAUAUCAUGGAUUGAGGAUGUAAGCAGGUUCGCCUGUCUUCAUCUUCGAGAAGUGAAGUAAAUCUUAUCAUUUAGAGGAAGGAGAAGUCGUAACA